rnacentral:lncRNA from 1 species
AGCAAGACAGAGCCCCAAUUGCUCAUCAUGAGCAGAUCCUCAAACACAGCCUGCAUCUCUCCCUGCUCCCCUCCCACCCUCCAGUUUUCCAGCCAGAGGCAUUUGCUCUAAGGCCCAGGCUGUGGCCCACCUAUCACCGCUACCCAAGUAGUACAGGAAAAGGAAAUUUGAAGAGGAAAAGAGGCACCAGGGAUGAGGACACACCGAGAAAAGACCAUGUGAAGACAUGGCGAGAAGACAGCCAGCUGCAAGCCAAGGAGUGAGGCCUCAGAAGAAACCAACCCUGCCGACACCUUGACCUUGGACUUCUAGUCUCUAGAAUUAUGCGAAAAUAAAUUCCUGUUGUUU